CCUUCUUGUUCAUUUCACUGAGGUAGACAAUAACACCAGCAACUCCGCUUUUCAUAAGAUGGUGUGAGUAUCUGUAAGGGUGAAGGUGCCUAUCAUCAGCAGUCCUUUAAGGAAAGUCUACUCUACAAAGAGAGAUUAGAACCGACAGCGAGGUGACUCUGAAAGCAAAGGAUCUAAACCAUCAGCUCUCAAGUCAUUGGACUAAGCUCAACUUUUGUCAGAACAAACACUCACAAUGGGAAGAGGUGAAAGUGAAGUGUGGGAGGAAAACCCUGACGAUGUUAAGCAAACUCAACCCAAAAAACACACACCCACAAAGAGUAAAAGCACAGAGAAAUCGGGGAGUAGCUGUCCCGCGUGCUGCUUGAAGACAAGGAACUGCCUGAUGAGCCCAGAGUGUGGCAGGGCACUUCAGAUCUCCCGUGUUGUUGCUAUGUGUGGAAUGUGUCUCCGCAUGUUUAUUAGAUGAACCUUGGACGACACGACCAACCUGGAAUAUAUUAUUAUUAUUAAAUCUCCUCCAGCACUUUGCAUGAAAAUCAUGCCAUUACUCAAAGAAGAUAAAAAUGAAGUAACAUAUGAGAAAACAUGUAAAUAAGACCAACACUAAUUAUUAGUAGUCAAUCAGUGGAAACACUGAGGUAAAGUGAAUGUUACCUUAUUAUAAAGUUAAACUUUUUUAAAAAAACUUUAACACUGAAGCCUCUCGUAAUAAAAUCAUGUUUGCUUAAUCAGAAUGCUACAGUAUUUAGUCAAAGCAGUUGUAUAUUUAUUUUUGAAAAAAAUUUCAUUAAUGUAAAAAAUAAUUAUAGUAAAUAAACUGGCACAUCUAAGUAGUAUCUUAUCUAGGUUUCUGCUGAUGAAAAAUGUUAACUAAAGCUUUUAGUAACAUCCCUGUAAUGACAACACAAGUGUGUCACCUGUACCAGUGCUAAUAAUAAAAGCAUUUAAUUAUUUAAAUACUUUAUACUGUCAACGCCCUCACUUGAAGCCUGUUGGGAAAUAACCAGACUAAGGAGGUAUCUUCACAUAUUAACAAAAGACAGCUAUGCCAUUACUCAUGCUUGUGAGUCAGACCCUUUCAUGGCGUGCUAUUGACGUCAUGGAAAAGCCAUUGAAGAUUUUAUGUCAAUAACAUUGGCAACUAGAUGGUGGAGAGUUUUAUAAAUAGCAUUUUUACAAAACUAUCACGAGCCAAUUCCAGUACUUUUUGGGAAGGAAAAAAAUCCAGGUUGCUGGUUGCACAAAACUACUACCUCUUCCUUUUCAACAAGAUUUCAGGCUCACCUGAUCACUGCAAGGUUUAGUUGACCUUGUUGUGAAAAACCUAGUGGGAGAUUCUGUGACACGGUUAAAAAUAAAAAUUGGCCACCAUUAAAAGAAAAAGAGAAUGACCUUUCUUGUCAAAUAGGGCAAGUGAAACACACACCCCCUUUGCUCUCUGUUGCUUUACUUUUGACUCAACUGCUCAUGUACCUGUGUGUGCACGUUUGAUAGGGUUAAAUUGCUUGCUGUGGCUUACUUGGCUUGAUGUAGCUGCAAAAUGUUGGUUGCAUCUAUAUACAAAGCAGCUUAGCUACCUUGCAGGCUCAUUGUUCUUACUGAAACAAGCUGUUCAGUCUAACUGCAAAUAUUUGGGGAAUGUGGUUCUCCUCAAUGUUGCCUUUUAUAGAUGGAACAUCUUUCUUUUAUUAUUAGGCAAGCUAAAAAAUCCUAAUUUAUCCUGGAUUGUUGACAAAAGACUCCUCUUUGACGUAGGGCGAAAGAACAUGUUGGUCCUAUUAUUGUUGGUUACAAAAAAGGCAGUUGUUUUGCACUCCCUUCCCCAGGAAAGCCAAAUAAAUUGAAAUGGAUUUGUUCGAUAUCCAAAAAAAAUCACCUUCAAUAAAGUUUGCCUAAAUAGCUAGCUGAUUUUCUGAGUCUAAAAUGGCAUACAGGUUGAGCUGUUGUGCUCACAACCAGACCACAGUAAGAAAAUGCCCUGUCUUUCCAACAAAUCCAAGAGUAGAAAAUACUGUAAGGGACCUUAUUUGUUUGUUUAGCCAAAUCCAAUGAGACAGUGUUUACCUUUAUACCCCUUUAUCUACAUUUUCAUACCUCUUUAUUUCAAACUUUGAGCCUCCACCAUUGUAAAAGUAUCUAUUU